UAGCUUGGGCAGCACAUGUACUAAAAUAGAGAGAAUACAGAGAAGAUUGCUAUGGCCCCUGGCCAGGGAUUACACGCAAAUCCGUGCACCGUGAUUUUUUUAA
rnacentral:snRNA from 1 species